rnacentral:snRNA from 1 species
AGCUUUGCAUAGUGGCAGUAUCGUAGCCAAUGAAGUUUAUCCAAGGCAUGAUGAUUGCUAAUUAAAACAAUGUUGAAAUUAG